ACUGACUAGAUUCUCCAUGCAUGUCUCAGUAUAAGUCUUGAACGACGAAACUGCGAAUGGCUCAUUAAAACAGUUAUAGUUUAUUUGAUGGUCAAAUUUGUAUAUGGACAACUGUGGUAAUUCUAGAGCUAAUACAUGCGCAAAGACUCGACUUCGCGGAAGAGUUGUGUUUAUUAGAUACAGAACCAGUACCUUCGGGUUUUCUUGGUGACUCAUAAUAAAUGUACGGAGCUCACGGCUAUGCCGGAGCUGUGUCAUUCAAGUUUCUGACCUAUCAGCUUUCGACGGUAGGGUAUUGGCCUACCGUGGCAUUGACGGGUAACGGAGAAUUAGGGUUCGAUUCCGGAGAGGGAGCCCGAGAAACGGCUACCACAUCUAAGGAAGGCAGCAGGAGCGCAAAUUACCCAAUCCUGACACAGGGAGGUAGUGACAAGAAAUAACAAAGCAGGUCCUUACAGGAUUUUGCUAUUGGAAUGAGUAGAAUUUAAAUCUCUUUUCGA
rnacentral:rRNA from 1 species